UCUUUGCCUCCAGGAAUCCAGUUGCAGCUCACUAAAUCAUUUAAGAAGCUCUCUAAUCAUGGACAUAAAGGAGGAUACCCUUUUGCUAGAGACGUUACCAACUGCUGCUCCACAACCCCUUCUCCCCCUUCGUGCACCUUCUCCAUUGGCACCUUUCACAAACAGCACUUCACUUAGACUAUCUGGACUGUGUACGCUGAACUUUGAUGCUGUGAAAAG
rnacentral:misc_RNA from 1 species